rnacentral:misc_RNA from 1 species
GCCAUAUCAACAGUCACCCUAUCAUUAAUUUGCAAUCCCAUAAUAAUAACGUUCACUCAAAUUGUUAAUUCUCAACCACAUAAUGUUACAAGCAUAGGAUAUAUCGGAACAGGGUAAAAAGGAACACAGGUUGAACAUCGGGUAUUUGUUAAAGAUCAAUUCCCUACAUCUGCUUUUACAAAACAAGAUAUAAUAAUAAUAAUACAAAGGGACAACAGAGACAUGGUAAGAUAAGGGAAAGAAGGAACAAAUUGAUACAGAGAAGAAACACAGCUUCAAAGGGUACACUUAAAUUAUUUCUAUCACAAGGCAGGAACUCAUAACCCAAGGGAAGGGCACUGUUUUCUGGCGUGCUCUGGAACCAACUUCAGUAAUAUCUCUGCAUGCACAUUCUUCAACUCAUGAGCCUUGAAGUUAAACAAGGGAGGAAGAAAGCGUCCAUUAGGCAAGCGUGUAUUGGGAUCACGAAGCUCGUCAAAAAAUGGGUGAACCAAGGCAUCCAAAGCAGCACAGCGCAAGUUAGGAGAGUACUGAAGCAGUCUUGAGACCAGAUCAACUGCUUCUGGAGGCAUGCGCUUAUGAAAUAUCUUGUGCCAUGGAUGAGCUUUAAUUUGAGGAAAUUUGAACUCAUUAUAGUUGGGAUUCAUACAUUUAAUUUCUUCCCUUGUAGGAGUGCCUAAAACCUUAAUGAUCUCAACAAGCUGAUCAACUCCA